rfam:Lupinus angustifolius cultivar Tanjil contig_20417, whole genome shotgun sequence.
AGGUGCGAUCAUACCAGACUACUGGUACUAAUACAUCAGAUCCCAUUAGAACUCCGCAAAAAAGCAUGUUUGGGCGAGAGUAUUACUAGGAAGGUGUCCUCCUAGGAGGUCCUCUUGUUGCACCUC